CAAGGAACGUUUAUUGGAUUAAAUCGCACACUGCAAGAUAGGAUCUAUUACCAUCUAAAUUUCACCCUCAACCUCAAGAAUCACGUCAACAUCUGUCGAGAGAAGAAGAGGCCAAGAAGAAAAACAGCGGAGAGAGGCAAGAGAGAGAAACCAGAGAACGAAGGAAAGGAAUUUGCCCCAAUUAAUAGGAAAUAACGAUGUCCGGCUUUACUGUGCUGCAAGCUAACUUGAACCAUUGUCGCGCAGCACAAGACAUGCUU